rnacentral:rRNA from 1 species
GAUGAACGCUGGCGGCGUGCCUAAUACAUGCAAGUCGAGCGAGUGGCGGACGGGGGAGUAAUGUCUGGGAAACUGCCCGAUGGAGGGGGAUAACUACUGGAAACGGUAGCUAAUACCGCAUACCAUCGGAUGUGCCCAGAUGGGAUUAGCUAGUAGGUGGGGUAAAGGCUCACCUAGGCGACGAUCCCUAGCCGGUCUGAGAGGAUGACCGGCCACACUGGAACUGGGACACGGUCCAGACUCCUACGGGAGGCAGCGGUGGGGAAUAUUGGACAAUGGGCGCAAGCCUGAUGCAGCCAUGCCGCGUGUAUGAAGAAGGCCUUCGGGUGGUAAAGUACUUUCAGCGAGGAGGCGUUACUCGCAGAAGAAGCACCGGCUAACUCCGUGCCAGCAGCCGCGGUAAUAC